GGUCCACUCCAGACCCUGUUUGCCUGGGUAUCACCAGCAGAGGCUGCAGAAGAGCAACGAUUGCUGCCUGUUUCUUCCUCUGGAAGCUUUGUUCCAGAGGAGCACCCACCAGAUGAAAGCUGGAGCUCUCCUGUAGGAGGUGUCUGUUGACCCCUGCUGGGAGCUUUCUCCCAGUCAGGAGGCACAGGGGUCAGACUGCCAUCUGAGGAGGCACUGUGCUGGGAGAUCCACUGCUCUCUUCAGAGCCAGCAGGCAAGAACAAGUCUGCCAAAGCUGUGCCCACAGCCGCCCCUUCCCCCAGGUGCUCUGCCCCAGGGAGAUGGGAGUUAUAUCUAUAAGCCCUUGACUGGAAAUACUGAUGAAUAAAAUUGAAAAGGACACAAAAAUGAAAAAAAAACUCAUUAUCAGUUGGAAGAAUUGAUACUAUCAGAAUGACAAUACUACCCCCAAACAAUUUAUAGAUUCAAUGCAAUCCCUAUCAAAAUACCAAUGACAUUCUUCACAGAAAUUUUUAAAAGUCUUACAAUUUAUGUGGAACCAUAAAAGACCCUAAUUAGCUGAAGCAAUUCUGAGAAAAAAGAACAAAUCUGGAGGCAUCACACUGUAUAACUUUAAAAUUUAUGACAAAGCUAUAGUAACCAAAUCAGCAUGGUACUGGCACAAGAAUAGACACACAGACCAAUGGAGUAGAACAGAAAAUUCAUUUAUGAAUCCACACAUUUAUAGCAAAUUCAUCUUCAACAAAUGUGCUAAGAAGGACCACCUCUUUAAUAAAUGGUGCUGGGAAAUUUGGUUAACUAUAGUCAAAAGAAUGAACCUUAGAUCUAAAUCUCUUACCAUCCACAAACAAAAAUAGAUUAAAGGUUUAAAUCUAAGACCUGAAACUGUGAAACUACUAGAAGAAAGCAUUGGGAAAAUGCUCCAGGACAUUGGUCUAGGCAAAAAUUUUCUGUGUAAAACCUCACAAGCACAAUCAAUCAAAGCAAGAAAUAGACAAAUGUUAUUCCAUCAAGCUAAGAAGCUUCUGCACAGCAAAGGAAACAAUCAGCAAGCGAAGGAAGACACAACCUAUAGAAUAGGAGAAAAUAUUUGCAAACUACCAACCUGACAAGGGAUUAAUAAACCAGAGUUUAUAAGGAGCUCAAAAAACUCAGUAGAAAAAAAACCCAGCAAAUAAUUUAAUUAAAAAAUGCACAAAAGACCUGAAUAGACAUUUCUCAAAAGAAGACAUACAAUGGCCAACAAAUAUAUGAAAAAUAUGCUCAACAUCACUAAUCAUCAGGAGAAUGCAAAUCAAAAUUACAGUGAGGUAUUAUCUUACUCCAGAUAAAAUUGCUUUUAUCAAAAAGACAGGAAAUAACAGGUGCUGGCGAUGAUGUGGAGAAAGGGGAACCCUCAUACACUUUUGGUGGGAAUAUAAAUUAGGAAAGUCACAAUGGAGAAUAGUAUGGAGAUUCCUCAAAAAACUAAAAAUAGAACUGCUCUACCAUCCAGGAAUCCUGCUACUGUGUAUAUCCAAAAGAAAGAAAAUCAAUAUAUUGAAGGGAUACCGACACUCCCAUGUUUAUCACAGCAUUAUGAACAAUAGAAAAGAUAUAGAAUAAACCUAAGUACCCAUCAACAAAUGAAUGGAGAAAAUGUGGUACAUAUACACAAUGGAAUAUUAUACAGCCAUAAGAAAGAAUGAAAUCCUGUCAUUUGCAGCAACAUGGAUGGAAGUGGAGGUCAUCAUAUCAAGCUAAAUAAGCCAGGCACAGAAAAACAGUUAUUGCAUGUUCUCACUCAUAUGUGGGAGCCAAAAACUGGAUUUCAUGAAGAGAGAGUGGAAUGAUAGUUACCAGAGGCUUGGAAGGGAAGGGGAGAGAGAGGUAUGAAGAGAAGUUGGUUAAUGUGUGCAAAAAUACAGUUAGCUAGAAAGAAUAAAUUCUAGUAUUCAAUAGCAAAGUGGGGAAAUUUUAGUUAAAUAAUAAACUAUAUAUUUAAAAAUAAAAUAAUAUAUUGUACAUUUUAAAAUAUCCAGAAGAAAUAUAAUGUUUCCAACAUGAAGCAAGAUAAAUGUUUGAGGUGAUGGAUAUCCCAAUCACACUUGUUUGAUUAUUACACAAUGUAUACAUGUAUCAAAUAUUACACAUACCCCCAAAAAUGUACAACUAUGAUGUAUUAAUUUAAAACACACAAAAAAUUCCUUUGUCUGUUUUCUAGAAAUAUUAUAUUUUCACUUUUACACUUAAAUCUAUAAUCCACAUAAAGUGAUUUUUUUCAUGUUGCGUAUAGUGAGAAAAAAAAGUUUGUUUGUUUUUCUUAUAAGUACCCUGUUGUUCCAACACUAUUUACUGAAUAAACUUUAUUUUGCCUCUUGUUAAUUUGGGUUGUCUUCUUAGUAUGUGGUUGCAGGAGUUAUUUUUGGUGAUGGUCAGUCUGGUCAACCACAAGGGAGACACAGAGGAGGCAAAGGAAAAAACAAGUUUCUUAUACUCAAGGUCCUAGAGGGACAGAGUCACUGCAUGCUGACAGGGAGUGAUGUGGAAAAGAGCACCAAGGAAAAAGGCUCAGCCAAGCAAGUGGGGAGCAGAGAGCGGGCAAACACCAGAAGCCAUAGGUUAAGACAUGAGGACUUCUACUGAAACUUCUCUAAAUAUGGAACCAAGACUUCAUCUGAGUUUGAGAUUAAGAGAAGAAAUUAUCACAGCUCCAUGAGGAAGAAAAAAUAAUCUGUGACUUCUGUACCUUCUUCAUGACCACCGGGCAAGACUGACUCUCUGACCAGUGCACAGGAGACUCAUCAAUAUCUAUCUAAGCCCUUUCUCUCUAACAGCUGCCAGAGUUUGGUCUUCUAUCAUCUCAGGCCAAGGAAGCGCAGUGGUUACACUCAUCUCCACUCCGGUCACCUGCUUUCCAUUUUAUGCGAGCAGGUCCUGCCUUACAAAAUAAACGUAUCUGCUGAGAAAUGCCAAUGAGGGAGACAGAAGAGAUCUUCAAAGGGAAAGGCAGAUUUUGACCUGUUGGAAAGAAAGGCGUCCAAUGCUAAUAAGGAAAAGAGAAGAGCCUUCCUCUCCAUGCAGGUUUAAGUCUACUGAAAGUGGAAAUUACUCUUUUAUUUAUAAAUACUGAUAGGACUCUUUUGGUAGCAGGGAACAUGGACCCACUUAUGCAACCUUAAGUAAAAACGGUAAUUUAUGGUAAAGGAAAAUGGAUAGCUGUCAGAAUUCUAAGCAGGAAGGUCAUAAACAAGCUGGAAUCAGAAAGUGGGAGGUUGUUGGGAUCCUUGGAACUACCUCGACCCUGCAAUCAGACAGACUCCUCUACCUGCCCUCUGUGUCCUUGGACAAACUGCUCAACCUCCCUAUGCGUCAGUUUCCUCAUCUGUAAAAUGGGAACAAUGAUAUCCAUCUUUUAAGAUUUUUGUGAGGAUUGAAUGAAUUAAACAAGUAAAGAGAUUGGAUCUAGGUCUGAAAUUUGCUAGCCACUCAAAUACUAGUUAUUUCAUUGGUUGUUUCAUAUUUUCUGCCCACGUAUGUUGACUUCUAUUUUGUUUCUUUUAAAUAAUUUGCCACUUUCUGAAAUUGUCUAAUUUACCUAAUUGCUGACUUGUAGAGCAUGGGUCUUCUCCUCUAGUAUUUAAGGUUUAUCACACCCUCAGUAGAGGGAAGGCAAUGAGUGUUCUGCUACAUGUCCUGUUUGCUGGAGCGGAGAACUUUCAGCCUGUUUCUGACCCAGUCCUCUGAGUACCUCUGCUCUGAAAGUUGUAACUGUCUCUCUUUCCCAGGGCUGUUUCUAUCUCCUUAGCCAAAAAGCCAGACUUCCUAGCCCAAGGAGGGGAGCUCAGUGAACCUCAACUAUAAGGCUGAAUCAAUCAGGAUUAAUGUAGUUUCAAGCCAGACUGAGUAGAUGACCAUUACUACUGCUACUACUUUAAGUUCUGCCCCCUUUGAAGGAUUUCCUUCAUCACUUUCUUUCAAGAACAAUACUAAUUGUGGUUGCAGUAAUACAACAGUCCACUUCCAGUUUUGCUAACAUAUUUUACUAAAUCAUCUGUGAAGCAAGCCCUGGUUUUCCUUCUGUAGUUAUCUAGUUAAAAGGAGUUCCACAUGAGGCUAUAGAUGUGAACUGCAGGAGAGGAGGGAAUGCAGUAAAAGUUGGUACCUUAGCAGUCUGAGCCACCUGCUCAUACAACUUACUUAUGCCUUGUUAAACCCAGUCAUAUAUACAUCAUAUAUAUAUAGAUGUAUUGCUGCUGUGCAUGUACAAUCUUGUGGCUACAUAAAACCCCACUCAUGAUGAGCAGUUCGAAUUGCAGAUUGCGUGGUCACUUGAUGUCCCAUGUUAAGUAUUAAGUUUUUAGUAAGGUCUAGGCAAACUUGAUGCUGUAUCCUAAAAGAACAUUAUCUCCAGAAGAGAGUAUAACUUUUAUCUAAAAUUCUAGAAGUCUGUGCUCUAAUUUUCCUUUUCUGACCCUUAGAAGCACUAUACAACAUCCAUAUUUUCUAUAGUCAUUUCAGGCUACAUCGGAUCUACCACACCACAAGUCUCAAGUGGUCAAGCAGCUUUCAAGGCAAUCUGGAAUUAUUGCAGAGCCUUCUCUUGCCCUGAGCCUCACUCAGAAUUAAUAGUGUUAUGGGCUCCUCAGCAAAUGGGUAAGAGUUGUGCACGUAAAUGAGGAUAUAUUGCAUACAAAUUCCAAAGAUAUCCACCAGGUAUUGUGCCUCUUCUUUAGUAAUAAGAAGGUGCAAGAUGCAGCAAUUUGUUUUAACUCUGAAGACAUUCUGACAUGUGAAUAACAGCAUAAUCUAACUUAUAGGGGUUUCCUGAGAAGAAAAUGAAUUCCUUAGCCCAACACAUGACAUUAAGUAAGUGCUUAAUAAGUAUGAGCUAUGAUGAUGAUGACAAUUAUGUUUAUUAUUACUACCAUACUUGAAAUUUAAGCAAGACUGCAUAGAGAAGGCCUUUUUAGAUUUCCAAAACCUUCCCUUCUCCACCUCCCAACUGCAACAUACUGCAAUCAGAGGAGUAAAAGAAUAGAAAUAAUGUCUGAGGUAGAAGUAAUUGUAUCUAUAUCUCUUCAUAAAAAGUAGAUAUCAAAUUCAAGAAGUCAGUUCUACCUGUGCAAACAGUUGUUAUGUGCUGAAUCAUUUUACAUGUAACAAUAUGUUCCAGUAAAGUCUUAGACCACUUUAUGGUUUUUAACAAAAAUGUGACAGAAAGUGUCCUCACUCCGUACUGAUUCCAUAUGUUUGUGUGAACUUGUAGUCUGGGAAGGAGUGUGGAGAAUGGCUCGGGGAACAGUGACCUCCACCUACAAGAAGAUAAACAGGUCUUUGGGAUUGAAGAACUUAACCCU
rnacentral:lncRNA from 10 species